ACGGAGAGUUUGAUCCUGGCUCAGGGUUAACGCUGGCGGUGCGCAUAACACAUGCAAGUCGAGCGAGGGCUCAUUUCCCGCAAGGGAGAUGAGUUCCUAGCGGCGAACGGGUGAGUAACACGUGGGCAACCUUUCCUAUCGCGGGGGAUAACAGCGGGAAACCGCUGCUAAUACCGCAUG
rnacentral:rRNA from 1 species